UACGGGGGGGGCAAGCGUUGUUCGGAAUUACUGGGCGUAAAGGGCUCGUAGGUGGCCAACUAAGUCAGACGUGAAAUCCCUCGGCUUAACCGGGGAACUGCGUCUGAUACUGGAUGGCUUGAGGUUGGGAGAGGGAUGCGGAAUUCCAGGUGUAGCGGUGAAAUGCGUAGAUAUCAGGAGGAACACCGGUGGCGAAGGCGGCUCUCUGGACCACAACUGACGCUGAGGCGCGAAAGCUAGGGGAGCAAACAGG
rnacentral:rRNA from 1 species